GCGGGACACGUGGUAUCCUGUCUGAAUAUGGGGGGACCAUCCUCCAAGGCUAAAUACUCCUGACUGACCGAUAGUGAACCAGUACCGUGAGGGAAAGGCGAAAAGAACCCCGGCGAGGGGAGUGAAAAAGAACCUGAAACCGUGUACGUACAAGCAGUGGGAGCACGCUUAGGCGUGUGACUGCGUACCUUUUGUAUAAUGGGUCAGCGACUUAUAUUCUGUAGCAAGGUUAACCGAAUAGGGGAGCCGAAGGGAAACCGAGUCUUAACUGGGCGUUAAGUUGCAGGGUAUAGACCCGAAACCCGGUGAUCUAGCCAUGGGCAGGUUGAAGGUUGGGUAACACUAACUGGAGGACCGAACCGACUAAUGUUGAAAAAUUAGCGGAUGACUUGUGGCUGGGGGUGAAAGGCCAAUCAAACCGGGAGAUAGCUGGUUCUCCCCGAAAGCUAUUUAGGUAGCGCCUCGUGAAUUCAUCUCCGGGGGUAGAGCACUGUUUCGGCAAGGGGGUCAUCCCGACUUACCAACCCGAUGCAAACUGCGAAUACCGGAGAAUGUUAUCACGGGAGACACACGGCGGGUGCUAACGUCCGUCGUGAAGAGGGAAACAACCCAGACCGCCAGCUAAGGUCCCAAAGUCAUGGUUAAGUGGGAAACGAUGUGGGAAGGCCCAGACAGCCAGGAUGUUGGCUUAGAAGCAGCCAUCAUUUAAAGAAAGCGUAAUAGCUCACUGGUCGAGUCGGCCUGCGCGGAAGAUGUAACGGGGCUAAACCAUG
rnacentral:rRNA from 1 species